GCACUGCAAGCCCACUCCUGAAGUGGAGUUAUGUUUCAGUCCUGCUUUGGAAUUCUUUCAGUGACAAUGUUGAACAUCCCAGGAUCCUGACAAAUGUCAAACCUUUGGAUGAAGAAAAGGAUUCAAAUUAGAGAAUCAAGAUCAUUCUCCUGCCUUAGAGUUCUGCAGGGUGAGUGCUACGAUCACAGGAGUCAGCACUGCAUCUGGCUCAAUAUAUACAGUCUAUAUGUUUACUGUUUUAAAGAAUGAGCUCAUACUACUUUUUAUUUUUAUUUAUUUUUAUUUUUGAAACAAGUUAAAUAUCCUGAGUGGCCAUGAGUUUGUUGCAUUCCUUAUGUAUGAACAACACAUCUAGAUUUUAAAAGAAAAUAGUUUAUUUUAAAAGUGAUACAGACAGGAAAUGUUUUGCGUUUCAGAGACAUCACUGUACAUGGCGGCUAUUAGACUUCUUGAGUGAGUGAAUUCCGUGCUGGGCUACUGGUACUUCAGCAAAAAGAAAAGUGAAAAGGUGUUUCAGCCAUAAAUACCGUCCUAAACACCCUUAGUCAUCAGAGAAAUGCAAAUCAAAACAACCCUGAGAUUCUACCUCACACCAGUCAGAAUGGCUAAGAUCAAAAACUCAGGUGACAGCAGAUGCUGUUGAGGAUGUGGAGAAAGAGGAACACUCCUCCAUUGUUGGUGGGAUUGCAAGCUCCUAUAACCACUCUGGAAAUCAGUAUGAAGAUUCCUCAGAAAAGUGGACAUUGUAUUACCUGAGGACCCAGCUAUACCACUCCUGGGCAUAACCCAAAACAUGCUCCAACAUAUAACAAAGACACAUUCUCGAUUCCAUUCAUAACAGCCUUAUUUAUAAUAGCCAGAAGCUGGAAAGAACCCAGAUGCCCUUCAACAGAGGAAUGGAUACAGAAAAUGUGGUACAUCUACACAAUGGAAUAUUACUCAGCUAUCAAAAACAAUGACUUCAUGAAACUCAUAGGCAAAUGGAUAGAACUAGAAAAUAUCCUGAGUGAGAUAACCCAAUCACACACACACACACAAAAGGUAAGCACUCACUGAUAAGUGGAUAUUAGCCCAAAAGUUCGAACUACCCAGGAUACAAUCCACAGACCACAUGAAGCUCAAGAAGAAGGACGACCAAAGUGUGGAUGCUUCAUUCCUUCUUAAAAGGGGGAACAAAAACAUUCAUAGGAGGAGAUAUGGAGGCAAAGUUUGGAGCAGAGACUAAAGGAAUGGCCAUUCAGAGCCUGCCCCACCUGGGGAUCCAGCCCAUAUAAAUAAAGCUACCAAACCUAGACAAUAUUGAUGAUGCCAAGAAGUGAAUGCUGACAGGAGCCUGAUAUAGUUCUCUCCUGAUAGGCUCAGCCAGAGUGUGACAAAUACAGAGGCGAAUGCUAGCACCAAAUCACUGAACUCAGAACGGGGUCCCCACUGGAGGAAUUAUGGACAGGAUUGAAUGCUCUGAAGGAGCUUGCAACCCCAUAAGAACAACAAUACCAACCAACCAGAGUUCGCAGGGAAUAAACGGCUACCCAAAGAGUACACAUGGACUGCCCCAUGGCUCCAGCUCAGUAUGUAGCAGAGGAUGGCCUUGUUGGGCACCAAUGUGGGGAGAAGCCCUUGGUCCUGCCAAAGCUGGAAGUGUAGAGGAAUAUCACGGCGGGAGGUGGGAAGGGGGUGGUGGUUGGGGAAGGGGAACACCCUUAUAGAAGGGGGAGGGGAAUGGGAUGAGAGCUUAUGGAUGGAAAACUGGAAAAGGGAGUAACAUUUGAUAUGUAAAUAAAAAUAUCCAAUAAAAUAAAAUUUAAAAAAAAAAGGAACCCAGAAGCCAGCUGAAUCUAAAUCUUGUGACUGACAACAGGGUUAUAACUGGUGUGCUAAACUGUUACACCAACUCUAAACCCCCACCACCUGUGGCACUAAGCAGACAUCCCUAGGAGCACAAGAACCAGAACAUGCAGAGCACUUCUCACUUCUAGCUGCCAUUUCUUUUAUUCUCAUCCACAGGUAAUGAGAAGAAAGGACAAACAUUUGGGACAAAAUCAGGCACUGUUUUCACAGAAACAUGGUAUGCUAGAUGUUUUAAAAAGAAAGAAAUGGGUGAGUUCUGGAUGCCCUGCUAUUGGGUUCUAUUGUCCUGAAAUUUUUAAUUGUUCUGGAAUUUAAAAAAAAAACAAAACAUUGUGGGCAGCAGAUUUCAUAAAUGAUACAUCUCCUAAAAAUCAAUCAAGAUACCUGCUUUCUGUCCAGUCUUGCUUUCUACAGACCUAAAGAAUUUCCUACCAAUAAUAAUAGAUUCCUAAACAAUAACUAUCACCAAGCACAUUGUCAUUGGCCACUGUGACCCCUGGGAGAUUUAUCACUGAAUCACAAUAUACUUAUCCUGAUUCUAUUACUACAGACUCUACUAAAAGGACUAAGCAUGAACUUCCUAAAGAGUGUUAUGUUUUGGAUAUGGAAUGUUCCUCAGUGCACAGUGCUACCCAUCUUGGCCUCAAGGUCGGCACUGCCAAGGACCAGCCUCAGCUUGGAGAGGGGUUCUGAGAGAAGUGGGGUUUGAGAGCAGCAAAACAAACCACUCAGAGUCAAGUCACGGGUCCAAGCUGGUGGCCUGUGUUCUGCUAUCAGGACUGCUUUCUCUAUGUUCUGCUCAAGACAGUUCUCUCUUGCUAUUUCAAAAAUCCUCUGGAUAGCUCAUCUAUGGCAGAUCAAAGGCCCAGUUUUUAUUUUUUAAUUUAUUUACAUAUCACCUCACUCUUUACCACAGGUUUCCUUUAGAUUAUCCCAUGAGUCAGCAUUAUGAUCUCAGAUCCCUUAAUUCUUAGGAGACAACAAACACUUUCUUUUUUAAACAUUGCAAAAGAACUCAGAGAUCAGCCUGCCUUUGUUAAACACAGAAAUUAAGCCUUCUGGGUGGGAUCCUACCCUGAAAUUACCUUUUCUACCUACCACACCUCUGAGGCUAACCUUGCUCUGUCCCAGGCUGACCCUGAACUCAAGAAUCUGCCUGCUCUUGUAAGCAUGAAUGAAAACUUAGCUGGGUGAGAUCUCCUGGGAUCACCAGUCCAAGUAUCUUGUAUCUCCUUCCUCAGUAUUUUUCUGACAGCUUGGCUUAUGGUGCAGCUACCUCUGUUCCUUUAGAUCUGUGAAGCUCAUUACACAACUCAUAUUGUAUCCUUAUAUUUUAAAUAGCUGAGAAAUUAUGCUUUCGAACUGAGGAAAAGAAAUCCCACCACCUCCUCUUAAAAUUUUAUUGGGGACCAUGGUUGGAUUGAUUAGUUAAUUAACCAACGAGGCUAAAAAACACAAACAUUGAACUUUUAAUAAAGCUACUCAUAAACAUAGCCCUUCACAAAAUAAAUGACCUAAGCCACAUGCUUUUACACUUUGUAGACAAAGAAAAUAAAUAUGUAAAGGAAUGGCAAGACAAAUGGGUCACUGAACCUG